rnacentral:rRNA from 1 species
UACGAACCGUACAAACGUUAUUCGGAAUCACUGGGCUUAAAGGGUGCGUAGGCGGCCAUGUAAGUGGGGUGUGAAAUCCCUCGGCUCAACCGAGGAACUGCGCUCCAUACUGCAUGGCUUGAGGGAGACAGGGGUAAGCGGAACUGAUGGUGGAGCGGUGAAAUGCGUUGAUAUCAUCAGGAACACCGGUGGCGAAAGCGGCUUACUGGGUCUCUUCUGACGCUGAGGUACGAAAGCU